UACGGAGGGUGCAAGCGUUGUUCGGAAUCACUGGGCGUAAAGCGCGUGUAGGCGGCUAUCUAAGUCUGAUGUGAAAGCCCUGGGCUCAACUCAGGAAGUGCAUUGGAUACUGGAUAGCUGGAGUACCGGAGAGGAGGGUGGAAUUCCUGGUGUAGCGGUGAAAUGCGUAGAUAUCGGGAGGAACACCUGUGGCGAAAGCGGCUCACUGGACCACAACUGACGCUGAGGCGCGAAAGCUAGGGGAGCAAACAGG
rnacentral:rRNA from 1 species